AUACAGCUAGCUCAAUGGUAGAGCACUAGGCUAUUACCCUAGAAGUCGAAGGUUCAAAUCCUUCGCUGAAACCC
rnacentral:tRNA from 1 species